UACGUAGGGCGCAAGCGUUAUCCGGAAUUAUUGGGCGUAAAGAGCUCGUAGGCGGUUUGUCGCGUCUGCCGUGAAAGUCCGGGGCUCAAUUCCGGAUCUGCGGUGGGUACGGGCGGACUAGAGGUAUGCAGGGGAGAACGGAAUUCCUGGUGUAGCGGUGAAAUGCGCAGAUAUCAGGAGGAACACCGGUGGCGAAGGCGGGUCUCUGGGCCGAUACUGACGCUGAGGAGCGAAAGCGUGGGGAGCGAACAGG
rnacentral:rRNA from 1 species